rnacentral:rRNA from 1 species
UAAGGAAUCUUCCACAAUGGACGAAAGUCUGAUGGAGCAACGCCGCGUGCAGGAAGACGGCCUUCGGGUUGUAAACUGCUUUUAUUAGUGAAGAUUAUGACGGUAACUAAUGAAUAAGGACCGGCUAACUACGUGCCAGCAGCCGCGGUAAUACGUAGGGUCCAAGCGUUAUCCGGAAUUACUGGGCGUAAAGCGUGCGUAGGCGGAAAAUUGCGUGAGAUGCGAAAUCCGGUGGCUCAACCAUCUGGACUGUAUCUCAUACGGGUUUUCUUGAGGACGGCAGAGGCAAGUGGAAUUACCGGUGUAGCAGUGAAAUGCGUAGAUAUCGGUAGGAACACCAAUGGCGAAGGCAGCUUGCUGGGCCAUUUCUGACGCUGAGGCACGAAAGCGUGGGGAGCGAACAGGAUUAGAUACCCCCGUAGUCC